rnacentral:misc_RNA from 1 species
UCCACCAACUAUAAACAGGAUAUCCUUUGUAUCUAUCUGUAUGUUAUCACCUCGAGGAUGCUUCCUUGCUCCCUUCUCAGGAACAUUCACAAUAGUUCCUUCUAGCAUUUUCAAUAAUGCUUGCUGGACACCCUCACCUGAAACAUCUCUGCUAAUGUUUAAACUCUCAGCCUUCUUAGUUAUUUUGUCAACUUCAUCAAUGUAGACUAUCCCUUGCUGAGCUGCUUGCAC